rnacentral:rRNA from 1 species
ACGUAGGGUGCGAGCGUUAAUCGGAAUUACUGGGCGUAAAGCGUGCGCAGGCGGUCUUGCAAGACAGGUGUGAAAUCCCCGGGCUUAACCUGGGAACUGCACUUGUGACUGCAAGGCUGGAGUACGGCAGAGGGGGAUGGAAUUCCGCGUGUAGCAGUGAAAUGCGUAGAUAUGCGGAGGAACACCGAUGGCGAAGGCAAUCCCCUGGGCCUGUACUGACGCUCAUGCACGAAAGCGUGGGGAGCAAACAGGAUUAGAUACCCUGGUAGUCCACGCCCUAAACGAUGUCAACUGGUUGUUGGACGGCUUGCUGUUCAGUAACGAAGCUAACGCGUGAAGUUGACCGCCUGGGGAGUACGGCCGCAAGGUUG